GUCCUUCCCAUUUCAUAAUACUCUCCACUUUCCAUCUCAUUAAUGGAAUUUGAACUUAGCAACUAUCAAUAACUUCACCUACUGCAUUGUUGUGAAAGACGAAUUCAUCAAGGAAAAGAUUAUCUUUGUGGUUUGUAAAAGCAAAUAAAUGAACACGUAUGAUUUGUAUUAUUGGUAGAGAAAACAAAUAUAAUCUAAGUAAAAUAUUCCUAAUUAAGAAUUUGGCAAUUGAAGGCUAAUUUUGAAUUAACUCGAAGAAUGGUUCAUAAACUAUUUAAUU
rnacentral:misc_RNA from 1 species